UCUCUGUAUCGCUAGGGUUUACACCUGCAAAGCAAUGGACGUUUCAAAAAAGCGAAAAACCGACACCGGCGGCCAAUUCACCGGCGAUGACGGCACCUCACCACCACCGUUACAGACCCUAACCACACAAGACGCACGCAAAAUCCUCGAAUCAUUCACAAAAGACCAACUCCUCAACAUCCUACAAACGGUCGUCGUUCGCGACACUGCCGCUCUCUCCGCCGUUCGCUCCGUCGCCGACUCCGAUCCGACUCACCGGAAACUCUUCAUCCGCGGCAUCGGUUGGGAAACCACCACCGAUAAACUCCGAUCUGUGUUCUCAACGUUUGGUGAACUCGAAGAGGCGAUUGUAAUAACCGAUAAAACCACAGGUAAAUCUAAAGGUUACGGAUUCGUUACGUUUAAGCAUGUAGACGGCGCCGUUUUGGCGUUGAAACAGCCGAGUAAGAAGAUUGACGGUAGGAUAACGGUGGCGCAGUUAGCGGCUGCUAGGGAUUUGAGCAACGUUGAUGUGUCGAUGAGGAAGGUUUAUGUUGGGAAUGUGCCGUUUGAGAUAAGUUCUGAGAGGUUGUUGAGUUAUUUUUCGGCGUAUGGAGAGAUUGAAGAAGGUCCUUUAGGGUUUGAUAAGCAGUCUGGGAAGGUGAAGGGGUUUGCGUUUUUUGUUUAUCGGACUGAGGAAGGGGCACGGAAUGCGGUUGCGGAUUCAAUUAAGUAUAUUGAUGGACACCAGGUUAUGUGUAAAAUGGCUACUGAUGGGAAGAAGGGGAAGGUUGGUGAUGCUGCUCCGGUUUCUGGAUCGAUGCCAGGGUCUAUGAAUUCGGGAUAUGGUGGGAUGUCAUCAUAUGGUGGGUUCUCUGGUGGACCUCCUUUGCCUGCUAAUCCAAAUCCGUAUACGAAUUCUUCGGUGCCUUCAGGAAUUGGAAGCGGUCCAGGUUAUGGAAACCAGCCCCCGCCCUCGUUUGGUGGUGGCGGCGGGUAUGCUGGUGGUGGUGGGUAUGGUAGUGGUGGAUAUGGUAGUGGUGGGUAUGGUAGUGGUGGAUACGGCAGUGGUGGGGGCGCUGCAGCUCCAGAGAAUCAUGGGCUAAACAGUUUUGCAUCUUCAAUGACCAGGGUGCCACCAAGUCAGGGUGGGUUCGCUGAUGGAGGAAAAUAUGGUCCGCCUUCAGCUUACUCGGCACAAUCUAACCUGCCACCAGCUGGUCCAAGAGGUCCUCAUGGUGGGAUGUACCAGGGUGGGCAUCCGUAUUAUUGAGUUACCGCAUACCAGAAUCUCUCUUCGGCAUCCAGCUGCAAACCUUGAAGGCCACAAUAUCAAACUUUAAGGGGCGGCACAGUGUUAAGCGCCUGAGAGGUUUCAGGUUCGAAUCCAUAGUUCACUAGUUUCUUGUCUCAACCCCUAGAAGGCUACUUGCGCGGUGGAAACUACGCUAUACCUGGUUAGAAUGAAAGAACUUUGUGGCUUACAAGAGCAAACUUUGCACCUAUAUGGAUUAGGAGUGUUUGGUACAAGUUUUGAAGUUCUGUUCAAAUGAUUUUAAGCUGAUCUCAGUGCUGGAACUGGAGGUCUGAAUGUUGUUGAAGUAAGGUUUGAUCUGGUCAAAAGAUUCUCCUGAAGAAACAGUUGAGAACAAGCUUAUUACCACAUUCUUUUUGUGGCAAAGCUUUGUUUAGUUACAUGCAAGGUCGUUGUAAAAAGUAGAAAUUCAUGACAUUGGUAGUUUAUUGUUGUGUUUAUAAUUUAGGAUAUGAAAGAAAAACCUUUAAAAAUAGUA